rnacentral:rRNA from 1 species
AACGAACGCUGGCGGCACGCUUAACACAUGCAAGUCGCGCGAGAAAGUUCUUCGGAAUGAGUACAGCGGCGCACGGGUGAGUAAUGCAUAGGAACGUACCAUAAGGUGGGGAAUAACCAAGGGAAACCUUGGCUAAUACCGCAUGAUUUCGAGAGAAUAAAGAUGGCCUCUACUUGUAAGCUAUCGCCUUUUGAGCGGCCUAUGUCCCAUUAGCUAGUUGGUAGGGUAAUGGCCUACCAAGGCAACGAUGGGUAGCUGGUCUGAGAGGACGACCAGCCACACUGGAACUGAGACACGGUCCAGACUCCUACGGGAGGCAG